UGAAGGUUGGUUUGUAGAAACAAACCAUAAAAAGGAACCCGGUUUUAGUCCGGGGCUGUGCCAGCAGCUGUAAUCUGUGAUGAAUCCACAAUAUAUCCACUGUGAAAAUGGGAAGGAGUUGUGGAGGAGCAGUGAGCCAGAAUACUUGACC
rnacentral:ncRNA from 1 species